UCAAGUCAUCUUCCCAUCUCCUGAUUUG
rnacentral:piRNA from 1 species